CAGGAGAGAGAAAGGAAGGGUCCGGGGGAAUGGGUGAAGACCUGGAGGUAGGGAAGUCUUGCUGCUAUCCUUUCUACUGAACGCUUCAACAUUCCAGGUGGAAGCAGCGGUGGCAAAAAUAUUAACUAUCAGUUCUGGGCGACAGAAGAGACCCCAGGUUCCCCAAGGAGAGCCGGGUCUCGCUAUGUAGUUCAGACUGGCCUUGAAGUCCCGAGGAUUCCCCUGCCUCGGCCUCCGGAGUGCUGGGAUUGUAGGCAUACACCUCCACGCCUGGCCUCUGUGCAUUUCUGAAGUCAUAAACACCCUUUCUUUGUGUGUUCUCUGA